UCCUCGUUUAAGCGAGGCAGUCUGUCCAGAGUGCUCCUCUCUCUCGAGGGGGUGGCAACAGGACACAAGGGUUGCGCUCGUUGCGGGACUUAACCCAACAUCUCACGACACGAGCUGACGACAGCCAUGCAGCACCUGUGCAAGCCGCCCUUGCGGGCUCAUCCCCGUUUCCGGUUCUUACUACUAGCAUGUCAAGCCUGGGUAAGGUUCUUCGCGUUGCGUCGAAUUGAACCACAUGCACCACCGCUUGUGCGGGCCCCCGUCAAUUCCUUUGAGUUUCAACCUUGCGGUCGUACUCCCCAGGCGGGGUACUUCCUGCGUUAGCGCCGGCACCCAGAGGGUCGCUCCCCCAGGCACCUAGUACCCAUCGUUUACGGCGUGGACUAC
rnacentral:misc_RNA from 1 species